rnacentral:misc_RNA from 1 species
GAUGAAGAACGUAGCGAAAUGCGAUAAGUAAUGUGAAUUGCAGAAUUCAGUGAAUCAUCGAAUCUUUGAACGCACAUUGCGCCCGCCAGUAUUCUGGCGGGCAUGCCUGUUCGAGCGUCAUUUCAACCCUCAAGACCCCUUCGGGGGACUUGGUGUUGGGGACCGGCACAGGGGCCUGCCUGCUUGUCUUGCAGCGCCCUCGCCGCCCCCGAAAUGAAUUGGCGGCCUCGUCGCGGCCUCCCCUGCGUAGUAGCACAACCUCGUAACGGGAACGUGACGGCGGCCACUGCCGUAAAACAACCCCAAUUUUAUUAGAGUUGACCUCGAAUCAGGUAGGAAUACCCGCUGAACUUAAGCAUAUCAAUAAGCGGAGGA